rnacentral:rRNA from 1 species
GAAAACUGAAUAGCUUGCUAAUUGGUUUUCUAGUGGCGGACGGGUUAGUAACACGUGAGCAACCUGCCUCGAAGCGGGGGAUAGCCUUUCGAAAGGAAGAUUAAUACCGCAUGUGACCUACGGGUUAAAGGCGCCUUCGGGUGUCGCUUCGAGAUGGGCUCGCGGCCUAUCAGCUUGUUGGUGAGGUAACGGCUCACCAAGGCGACGACGGGUAGCUGGUCUGAGAGGACGAUCAGCAACACUGGAACUGAGACACGGUCCAGACACCUACGGGUGGCAGCAGUCGAGAAUCAUUCACAAUGGGGGCAACCCUGAUGGUGCAACGCCGCGUGGAGGAUGAAGGCCCUAGGGUCGUAAACUCCUGUCAUAUGAGAGUAAGGCAUAUGUGUUAAGAGCAUGUAUGUUUGAUAGUAUCAUAAGAGGAAGGGACGGCUAACUUCGUGCCAGCAGCCGCGGUAAUACGAAGGUCCCGAGCGUUAUUCGGAAUCACUGGGCGUAAAGAGUACGUAGGCGGUUUGGUAAGUCAGGUGUGAAAUCCCGGGGCUCAACCCCGGAACUGCAUCCGAUACUGCCAGACUGGAGUAAUGGAGGGGCAGGUGGAAUUCUCGGCGUAGCAGUGAAAUGCGUGGAUAUCGAGAGGAAGACCAAUGGCGAAGGCAGCCUGCUG